GGCGGACGGGUGAGUAACGCGUGGGUAACCUGCCUCAUACAGGGGGAUAACAGUUAGAAAUGACUGCUAAUACCGCAUAAGACCACGGUACCGCAUGGUACAGUGGUAAAAACUCCGGUGGUAUGAGAUGGACCCGCGUCUGAUUAGGUAGUUGGUGGGGUAACGGCCUACCAAGCCGACGAUCAGUAGCCGACCUGAGAGGGUGACCGGCCACAUUGGGACUGAGACACGGCCCAGACUCCUACGGGAGGCAGCAGUGGGGAAUAUUGCACAAUGGAGGAAACUCUGAUGCAGCGACGCCGCGUGAAGGAUGAAGUAUUUCGGUAUGUAAAC
rnacentral:rRNA from 1 species